rnacentral:lncRNA from 1 species
GCGUUAGCUUCGGCUAAUCAGCUACAGACAAGCCUCUUGUUAUUGUUAGCUUUAGUUAGCUCUCUCUUUGUCUUCAGUUAGCGUAACUUUCAAUGGACUUUUAUUACUGCAGUGUAGUAUUACUGUGUCAUAGCAUCACUGUAUUGGUUUUCAAUAUCCUAUGAUCAUGUAGUUGUUAUAAUUAAAUUAUUGUUUUGUGUUAAAGUGAGGAACUCUCUCUUAGUGUUCUGAUAAACAUUAUGCUUCUCCUCCUUGUUCUUCUAUUGUUGUUCUUUUAGGACUAGUUACUGACAGACAUGGAUCCUGAAGCUGGUGGACUACACACCACCAAGGAAAUACACUGGAGAGCUUAUGGGGUGGAUUAUCUAUAUGACCAGACAGGCUACGCUUUGCUGGAGCCAGAGGAGUUUGAGGACGGCACUGUCCCCUUGCUGGAUGCUCCUCCACUCACUGGUGUUUCAUCGGGUCCCAAGGGCAGCCAGACCUGUUCGACUCCAUUCAAGAAAACUCUACAAGUCCUUGCCUUGCUUCAAUCAUCUCUAUGA